UUUCACUUUUGGAGUAAGUCACUCAAAGUGCAGUGGCCAGCAGAACAAAUGGCACACCAGAAUUCUGCUAUUCAUCAUAAGGGAUAUGAGACUCAGAUGACUGCCUCAGGGACUUCCUGGUCCUCUCCACUAGACAAUGGGCACCCUGGCCCAGGAUGGAGCCAGCUCCUCAUGAAGGACCCGCAUUGGCACCCGAAAUUUAGAGCCCAGUAAAUUUCACAGGCCUGAAGCAAGAUGGUUUGGACAAGAAAGGCAAAUGUGUAAAAGUUAUGUCUGGCAUGGAAAAGUAACAAACCCCAGCGAAAAAAGCCAGAGUUCAAAAAUAGGAAACAGGAUUUACUUUGAUCUCAGAGGUCAGAAGGACUACUAGACAAGCAGUGCAGAAUAAUCUAGCCAACAUGAGAGGCAAAAUAGUCAACAAACAAAACCACAUGCCACCCACACAAAGGCCAGAGAAGCAUUAGGCUAACCGUGAAUUUCCCAUGUGCUGGCUAUUGCCACUUCCUCACCACAGGCUGUAAAGUAUGUGAAGACUUUACAUAUUCCCAUGUAUAAAAAUGUCAAGAGAGUGGUCCGGAAGGUGGCGCAGUGGAUAAAGCACUGGAUUCUCAAGCAUGAGGUCCUGAGUUCAAUCCCUGGCAGCACAUGUACCGGAGUGAUGUCUGGUUCUUUCUCUCUCCUCCUAGCUUUCUCAUGGAUAAAAAAAAUAAAUUCUUUAAAACAAACAAAAACAAAUAAUUUGUCAGAGAAUUCACUCUGGACUAGUGGACUUGGGUCUGAAGAACAUCCACAUGAGGGCUAUUGUUCUGAAUGAGUGGUUAGGGAAGGAGUACAGGGGAGUCUACAAAGAUUAUUUCAUAAAGAAACAACGAAAAUUGAAAACAGUGGUAUUA